CAGGGUGUGGCGCAGCCCGGUAGCGCGCACGGCUGGGGGCCGUGAGGUCGCUGGUUCGAACCCAGUCACCCUGACCA
rnacentral:tRNA from 1 species